rnacentral:rRNA from 1 species
GUGGCUCAGUUCAGAUCUUAGGCUGCAACUCGCCUACGUGAAGGAGGAAUCGCUAGUAAUCGCAGGUCAGCAUACUGCGGUGAAUACGUUCCCGGGCCUUGUACACACCGCCCGUCACACCAUGGAAGUUGGCCACGCCCGAAGUCGUUACUCCAACCCUCUGGGAGGAGGACGCCGAAGGUGGGGCUGAUGACUGGGGUGAAGUCGUAACAAGGUGGCCGUACCGGAAGGUGCGGCUGGAUCACCUCCUAA